rnacentral:tRNA from 1 species
GCCUGACUGGCUCAGUCAGAAGAGCAUGCGACUCAUAAUCUCAGGGUCGUGAGUUUGAGCCCCAUGUUGGGUG